GACGAACGCUGGCGGCGUGCUUAACACAUGCAAGUCGAACGGAAAGGCCCCUUUGGGGGUACUCGAGUGGCGAACGGGUGAGUAACACGUGAGUAACCUGCCCUUGACUUCGGGAUAACUUCAGUAAACUGGGGCUAAUACCGGAUAGGAAUCCUUGCUGCAUGGUGGGGGUUGGAAAGCUUCGGCGGUUUUGGAUGGACUCGCGGCUUAUCAGCUUGUUGGUGGGGUAGUGGGUUACCAAGGCUUUGACGGGUAGCCGGCCUGAGAGGGCGACCGGCCACAUUGGGACUGAGGUGCGGCACAGGCUCCGACGGGAGGCAGCAGUGGGGAAUAUUGCACAAUGGGCGGAAGCCUGAUGCAGCAACGCCGCGUGCGGGAUGACGGCCUUCGGGUUGUAAACCGCUUUCAGCAGGGGCGAAGCUUGUGGUGACGGUACCUGCAGAAGAAGCACCGGCUAACUACGUG
rnacentral:rRNA from 1 species